rnacentral:rRNA from 1 species
UACGAAGGGGCUAGCGUUGCUCGGAAUCACUGGCGUAAAGGUGCGUAGGCGGGUCUUUAAGUCAGGGGUGAAAUCCUGGAGCUCAACUCCAGAACUCGCCUUGAUACUGAAGAUCUUGAGUUCGGGAGAGGUGAGUGGAACUGCGAGUGUAGAGGUGAAAUUCGUAGAUAUUCGCAAGAACACCAGUGGCGAAGGCGGCUCACUGGCCCGAUACU